AGAGUGUGAUCCUGGCUCAGAACGAACGCUGGCGGCAGGCUUAACACAUGCAAGUCGAACGCCCCGCAAGGGGAGUGGCAGACGGGUGAGUAACGCGUGGGAAUCUACCGUACCCUACGGAAUAACGCAUGGAAACGUGUGCUAAUACCGUAUACGCCCUUCGGGGGAAAGAUUUAUCGGGGUAUGAUGAGCCCGCGUUGGAUUAGCUAGUUGGUGGGGUAAAGGCCUACCAAGGCGACGAUCCAUAGCUGGUCUGAGAGGAUGAUCAGCCACAUUGGGACUGAGACACGGCCCAAACUCCUACGGGAGGCAGCAGUGGGGAAUAUUGGACAAUGGGCGCAAGCCUGAUCCAGCCAUGCCGCGUGAGUGAUGAAGGUCUUAGGAUUGUAAAGCUCUUUCACCGAUGAGGAUAAUGACGGUAGUCGGAGAAGAAGCCCCGGCUAACUUCGUGCCAGCAGCCGCGGUAAUACGAAGGGGGCUAGCGUUGUUCGGAAUUACUGGGCGUAAAGCGCACGUAGGCGGAUAUUUAAGUCAGGGGUGAAAUCCCGCAGCUCAACUGCGGAACUGCCUUUGAUACUGGGUAUCUCGAGUAUGGAAGAGGUGAGUGGAAUUCCGAGUGUAGAGGUGAAAUUCGUAGAUAUUCGGAGGA
rnacentral:rRNA from 1 species